rnacentral:rRNA from 1 species
UACGUAGGGUGCGAGCGUUAAUCGGAAUUACUGGGCGUAAAGCGUGCGCAGGCGGUUUUGUAAGUCAGAUGUGAAAGCCCCGGGCUCAACCUGGGAACUGCGUUUGAAACUGCAAGGCUAGAGUGUAGCAGAGGGGGGUAGAAUUCCACGUGUAGCAGUGAAAUGCGUAGAGAUGUGGAGGAAUACCAAUGGCGAAGGACAGCCCCCUGGGUUCA